AUUUGCUUCGGCAUUACGUGUUACUAAAAUUGGAACGAUACAGAGGAGAUUAGCAUGGCCCCUCCGCAAGGAUGACGAGAUAAGAUAAGAUUUCGUUCGGAUUUUU